UUCAAAGGCAGGGGACCCGGACCCAGCACCCCAAGGAGCCCGAGAGGAAGCCGCUGGGCCUGGCUCUCCCCACCCCGCGCCGCGGGCCAGGCAGGCACCCAAGGUCAGUCAGGGCUGCAGGGGCAGCGGGAAAGUGCUCUGAGCUUCUGCUGGACUUGAGUUGACACGGGGCCUCUUCGGGGGUCAGUGCCCAGCUGCUGUCAGCGGCAGGGUCUCAGUGGACACCGGCUAGUGUGUUUCCAGAGAGUCGCAGGCCUCUCCUCUGUGAGUCUGAGCUGCCCGGCGCCUUGUCCAUUGUUCCGUGGAUUCCCAGACUCUGGGGCACACCCCUCGCCCGGGCCUGUGCAAAGGCAGCUUCUCGUCGAAGAGAGGGAAGGAGGCUGUUCUCGGCACUACCCACCUCCUGGGGGAGGAAUCCAGUCUCCAACGCUCGUGGAUGCCAGGAAAAUUCCACUCCAAGAGAUUCCUAACAUGUGGGCAGGUGGUUGUCUAACCCACCGAGGGAAGAUGCUCCAGGUCAGGCCAGAUGUGACUUAACCCUGGAGGUGCCUUGAACUGAACUCUGCUAUUUUUGAAUCUCAAUCCUCUUAGAUGCUACACUCUUGCCACGUGCACUGAACGUUUCGUCGCCCUCUAAACCUCCGGUGUACAGCUUACUACUUACAGAACUCCUUUACCCUGGUCUACCAUUAAAUUCUCAGCACCAUAAAUGAAUCCGUGAAAUAAAAGGAAACAUGUUUUCUUGUACAAAUCAACAAUGGUCUCUCUAGAUAGAUAGAUAGAUAGAUAGAUAGAUAGAUAGAUAGAUAGAUAGAUAGAUAGAUAGAUAGAUAGAUAGAUAUAGAUAUAUAUCUCAACUAUAUAGAUUUAGUUGGCAACACUUACUCCAAAAAAAGCCUUCUUUUACAGCAAUCAUAUUUUUGGCCCUUUCUCCGUACAUAUCUCUGAAUUCACACUCUCACAAAUGUACCUGUAUUCUCUCUCAUCUUCGGUCCAAACUUCUUCCAAGAGAGACUUUAUAUCUAACUAUGGCUGUAAAUAUCCUAGCUGUCUUUCCACUCCCAAAACUCUGCUUCGAGAAUACACACAUGAUUGUAGGUCCUCCCUGGUGGCGCAGUGUGUUAAAGCACAGCAUUGUGAAGCUGGCAGCAGCCGCUUCGGUGCC